rnacentral:misc_RNA from 1 species
GAUGAAGAACGUAGCGAAAUGAGAUAACUAAUGUGAAUUGCAGAAUUCCGUGAAUCAUCGAGUCUUUGAACGCACAUUGCGCCCCCUGGUAUUCCGGGGGGCAUGCCUGUCCGAGCGUCAUUGCUGCCCAUCAAGCACGGCUUGUGUGUUGGGUCCUCGUCCCCCCCGGGGGACGAGCCCGAAAGGCAGCGGCGGCACCGCGUCCGGUCCUCGAGCGUAUGGGGCUUUGUCACCCGCUCUGCAGGCCCGGCCGGCGCUGGCCGACGCGAAAGCAACCAUUUUUUCUCCAGGUUGACCUCGGAUCAGGAAGGGAUACCCGCUGAACUUAAGCAUAUCAAUAAGCGGAGGA